GACGAACGCUGGCGGCGUGCUUAACACAUGCAAGUCGAACGGUAAGGCCCUUCGGGGUACACGAGUGGCGAACGGGUGAGUAACACGUGGGUGAUCUGCCCUGCACUUCGGGAUAAGCCUGGGAAACUGGGUCUAAUACCGGAUAGGACCCUGGGAUGCAUGUCCUGGGGUGGAAAGCUUUUGCGGUGUGGGAUGGGCCCGCGGCCUAUCAGCUUGUUGGUGGGGUGAUGGCCUACCAAGGCGACGACGGGUAGCCGGCCUGAGAGGGUGACCGGCCACACUGGGACUGGGAUACGGCCCAGACUCCUACGGGAGGCAGCAGUGGGGAAUAUUGCACAAUGGGCGCAAGCCUGAUGCAGCGACGCCGCGUGAGGGAUGACGGCCUUCGGGUCGUAAACCUCUUUCAGCACCGACGAAGCGCAAGUGACGGUAGGUGCAGAAGAAGGACCGGCCAACUACGUGCCAGCCGCCGCGGUAA
rnacentral:rRNA from 1 species